rnacentral:rRNA from 1 species
UUGUGUGCAGGGUGAAUCGAAAGACCUCCCUCAUUUCCCAUGCCUUCCUGGCUUCAUCGUACGGUCAUGGUCCAUAAGCGGUAGUCAGGAUUCUUGGAUGCGGUAGAUGCAGUGGGCAUGGGGUCUUUAUCGACUCCUAUCUACCUUGUAUGAUGCUCCUUUAAAAUGAUGGUUGCACUCGCCUUGAUUCCAUAUGCACCUUCACAGGCAGGCCAGGCUCAUAUGACACCGGCGUCGAUGAGUAAUGCCACCUGGUUGAUCCUGCCAGUAGUCAUAUGCUUGUCUCAAAGAUUAAGCCAUGUAAGUAUGAACAUAUUCAGACUGUGAAACAACGAAUGGAUCAUAAAUUCAGUUAUAUUUUGUUUGAUGGUAUCUACUAUUCGGAUAACCGUAAUAAUUCUAGAGCUAAUACAUGAAAGAAACCCCCACUUCUGGAAGGGUUGCAUUUAUUAGAUAAAAGGUCGGUGUGGGCUCUGCCCGAAAGAUAGUGAACUAUGCCUGAGCGGGUCGAAGCCAGAGGAAACUCUGGUGGAGGCCCGCAACAAUACUGACAUGCAAAUCAUUUGACUGACUUUGGUGUAGGGCUUGUGGCUGCUUUGUCGAGCCCUGCCACGGAAUCAAGAGCUACAAAUAGGCCUUUUUUUGUAAGCAGAAGUGGCGAUGCGGGAUGAACCGAAAAUCGAGUUACGGUGUCAAACUGCGCACUAACCUAGAUCACACAAAGGGUGUUGGUCGAUUAAGAUAGCAGGACAGUGGUCAUAGAUGUCAAAAUCUGCUAAGGAGUGUGUAACAACUCACCUGCUGAAUAAAAUAGCCCUGAAAAUGGAUGGCGCUUAACAGCGCAACCUAAAGUCAGCCAUCGGGGAAAGUUCCAGGCCCCAAUAAGUAGGAGCGCGCGACGUUUGCUCCAAAACCUUGGGCGCGAGCCCGGGCAGAGCGGCCGUCGGUACAAAUAUUGGUGGUAGUAGCAAAUAUUCAAAUGAGAACUUUGAAGGCCGAAGAGGGGAAAGNGGAGUGUGUAACAACUCACCUGCUGAAUAAAAUAGCCCUGAAAAUGGAUGGCGCUUAACAGCGCAACCUAAAGUCAGCCAUCGGGGAAAGUUCCAGGCCCCAAUAAGUAGGAGCGCGCGACGUUUGCUGCAAAACCUUGGGCGCGAGCCCGGGCAGAGCGGCCGUCGGUACAAAUAUUGGUGGUAGUAGCAAAUAUUCAAAUGAGAACUUUGAAGGCCGAAAAGGGAAAAGCUUCUAUGUGAAUGGCACUUUUACAUGGGUUAGUCGAUCCUAAGGGUCGGGAGAACCCGGACAGAUAGCGUAUUUCGUGCGUACUCUGAAAGGGAAUAGGGUUAAAACUACUAGACCGGGAUGUGGCGAUCAACACUAACAUUAGGAAGUUCGGAGACGUCAGAUUAAAACUCCUGAACCAGGACAUGGCGGUCGACGACAACGUUAGGAAGUCUGGAGAUGUCGGUAGGAGCCUCUGGAAGAGUUAUCUUUUUUGUUUAACAGCCUGCCUACCCUGGAAUCGUCUCAGCCGAAGCUAGCGUUCAGCGGCUAGAAGAGCACCGCACGUCGCAUGGUGUCCGGUGCACUACUGGCGCCCCUUGAAAAUCCAGAGGAACGAAUACCGUCCACGCCUAGUCGUACUAACAACCACAUCAGGUCUCCAACGGGAACAACCUCUCGCCGAUGCAAUAAUAUAGGCAAGGGAAAUCGGCAAAAUGGAUCUGUAACUUCUAGAAAAAGGAUUGUCACUAAGGGCUGGGGACGGGGGUUACAGUUCCAAACCCAUCAGCUAUCGGUGGACUACUCGAGCUGCUAUAGCAGCGAGAGCGGGUCACCGUAUCUAGGUUGGGGGACGGACUGGGAACGGUUCUUUUGGGGGCCUUCGCCGCACGUCGAAGAGCCAACUCAGAACUGGUACGGGCAAGGGAAAUCCAACUAUUUAAUUAAAACAAAGCAUUGCGAUGGUCCCAACGGAUGUUCAUGCACUGUGAUUUCUUUCUAUUGCUCUGAAUGUCUAAGUGAAGAAAUUCAACCAAGCACAGGUAACAACGGGAGUAACUAUGACUUUCUUAAGGUAACAAAAUGCCUCGUCAUCUAAUAGUGACACGCAUAAAUGGAUUAACAAGAUUCCCACUAUCCUUGUCUACUAUCCAGCGAAACCACAACCAAGGGAAUGGGCUUCGCAGAAUCAACGGGGAAAGAAGACCCUCUUGAGCUUGAAUCUACUCCGACUUUGUGAAAUGACUUGAGAGGUGUAGUAUAAGUGGGAGGCAAAAGGAAAAGGUGAAAUACCACUACUUUAGAAGUUAUUUCACUUAUUCCAUGAUUCGGAAGUGGGGCUAUGUCCCUCUCUUUUGAUCCAAGGCUCGCUAUGCGAGCUGAUCUGGGCGGAAGAUAUUGUCAGGUGGGGUCGUUUGGCUGGGGCGGCAUAUCUGUUAAGAGAUAAUGCAGGUGUCCUAAGAUGAGCUGAACGAGAUCAGAAAUAUCAUGUAGAAUAGAAGGGUAAAAGAUUGUUUGAUUCUGAUUUCCAGUACGAAUAUGAACCAUGAAAGCGUGGCCUAAUGAUUCUUUAGACCUUCGAAAUUCGAAGCUAGGGGAGUCAGAAAAGUGUUACCACAGGGAUAACUAGCCUGUUCCACCCAAACAUUCAUAGCGACGUUGCAUUUUCAUUCUUCAAUGUCGGCUCUUCCUAUCAUUGUGAAGCAGAAUUAACCAAAUUUUGGACUGUUCACCCACCAAUAUGGAACUUGAGCUGGGUUUAGACCAUCGUGAGACAGGUUAGUUUUACCCUACUUAUGACAGUGUCACAGUAUUAAUUAAACCUAGUACGAGAGAAAACGUUUAUUCACACAAUUUUUCAUCGUAUUUGGUUGAAAAGACAGUGGCGCAAAGGUACCAUGUGCUGGAUUAUGACUGAACGCCUCUAAGUCAGAAUCUGGGAUAGAAGUGAUGCAUACGCCCACUGUCCACUUGA